AGGCCAGUGGCUCAACGGCAGAGCACCGCGCUCCAAACGCGGGGGUUGGGGGUUCGAAUCCCUCCUGGCCUGCCA
rnacentral:tRNA from 1 species